UACGUAGGUGGCAAGCGUUGUCCGGAAUUACUGGGCGUAAAGCGUGCGCAGGCGGUUUUGUAAGCCAGAUGUGAAAGCCCCGGGCUUAACCUGGGAAUGGCAUUUGGGACUGCAAGGCUGGAGUUUGGCAGAGGAGACUGGAAUUCCUGGUGUAGCAGUGAAAUGCGUAGAUAUCAGGAGGAAUACCGAUGGCGAAGGCAGGUCUCUGGGCUAUAACUGACGCUCAUGCACGAAAGCGUGGGGAGCAAACAGG
rnacentral:rRNA from 1 species